GGGCUCAGCCGGUAGAGCAUGAGACUCUUAAUUUCAGGGUAGUGGGUUCGAGCCCCACGCUGACCA